rnacentral:rRNA from 1 species
AUUGAACGCUGGCGGCAUGCCUUACACAUGCAAGUCGAACGGCAGCACGGGUGCUUGCACCUGGUGGCGAGUGGCGAACGGGUGAGUAAUACAUCGGAACAUGUCCUGUAGUGGGGGAUAGCCCGGCGAAAGCCGGAUUAAUACCGCAUACGAUCUACGGAUGAAAGCGGGGGACCUUCGGGCCUCGCGCUAUAGGGUUGGCCGAUGGCUGAUUAGCUAGUUGGUGGGGUAAAGGCCUACCAAGGCGACGAUCAGUAGCGGGUCUGAGAGGACGACCAGCCACACGGAGAGUGAGACACGGCCCAGACUCCUACGGGGGGCAGCAGUGGGGAAUGUUGGACAAUGGGCGAGAGCCUGAUCCAGCAAUGCCGCGUGUGUGAAGAAGGCCUUAGGGUUGUAAAGCACUUUUGUCCGGAAAGAAAUCCAUGGCCGUAAUACGGUCGGGGGAUGACGGUACCGGGAGAAUAAGCCCCGGCUAACUACGUG